rnacentral:rRNA from 1 species
CCUACGGGUGGCAGCAGUGAGGAAUAUUGGUCAAUGGGCGGGAGCCUGAACCAGCCAAGCCGCGUGAGGGAAGAAGGUACAGCGUAUCGUAAACCUCUUUUGUCAGGGAACAAAGGCGGGGACUAGUCCCCGGAUGAGGGUAUCUGAAGAAAAAGCAUCGGCUAACUCCGUGUCAGCAGCCGCGGUAAUACGGAGGAUGCGAGCGUUAUCGGGAUUUAUUGGGUUUAAAGGGUGGGCAGGCGGCCUGUUAAGUCAGCGGGAAAAGCUCGGGGCUAAACCCCGGCGAGCCGUUGAAACUGGGGGACUGGAGUUGGAGAGGAGUACGCGGAAUGCGCGGUGUAGCGGUGAAAUGCUUAGAUAUCGCGCGGAACCCCGAUUGCGAAGGCAGCGUACCGGCUCCACACUGACGCUGAGGCACGAAAGCGUGGGUAUCGAACAGGAUUAGAUACCCUAGUAGUC